rnacentral:rRNA from 1 species
AUUGAACGCUGGCGGCAGGCCUAACACAUGCAAGUCGAACGAGUGGCGGACGGGUGAGUAAUGUCUGGGAAACUGCCUGAUGGAGGGGGAUAACUACUGGAAACGGUAGCUAAUACCGCAUACCAUCAGAUGUGCCCAUAUGGGAUUAGCUAGUUGGUGGGGUAACGGCUCACCAGGGCUCAGCUCCCUAGCUGGUCUGAGAGGAUGACCAGCCACACGGGCACUGAGACAUGGCCCAUACUCCUACGUGAGGCAGCAGUGGGGAAUAUUGCACAAUGGGCGCAAGCCUGAUGCAGCCAUGCCGCGUGUAUGAAGAAGGCCUUCGGGUUGUAAAGUACUUUCAGCGGGGAGGCGUUACCCGCAGAAGAAGCACCGGCUAACUCCGGGCCAGCAGCCGCGGUAAUAC